AUUGAACGCUAGCGGGAUGCUUUACACAUGCAAGUCGAACGGCAGCGCGGACCUUGGUCUGUCGGCGAGUGGCGAACGGGUGAGUAAUGCAUCGGAACGUGCCCAGUAGCGGGGGAUAACUACGCGAAAGCGUAGCUAAUAACGCAUACGCCCUCCGGGGGAAAGCAGGGGAUCGUAAGACCUUGCGCUAUUGGAGCGGCCGGCGUCGGAUUAGCUAGUUGGUGGGGUAACGGCUUACCAAGGCGGCGAUCGGUAGCUGGCGUGAGAGGACGACCAGCCACACGGGGGGUGGGACGCGGCCCAGGGUCCUACGGGAGGCAGCAGUGGGGAAGGGUGGACAAUGGGGGCAACCCUGAUCCAGCGGUCCCGCGUGUGCGAUGAAGGCCUUCGGGUUGGAAAGCACUUUUGGCGGUAGAGAAACGUCGCGGGCUAAUACCACGUGGAAGUGACGGUACCUGGAGAAGAAGCACCGGCUAACUACGUG
rnacentral:rRNA from 1 species